GCACUGCUGAGGAGUCCGACAAUAGGGCGAAACGUUCGUCCAGUGC
rfam:Schistosoma haematobium scaffold1192_10, whole genome shotgun sequence.